AACGAACGCUGGCGGCAGGCCUAACACAUGCAAGUCGAACGCCGUAGCAAUACGGAGUGGCAGACGGGUGAGUAACGCGUGGGAACCUUCCCUAUGGUUCGGAAUAGCUCAGGGAAACCUGGGGUAAUACCGGAUAAGCCCUUCGGGGGAAAGAUUUAUCGCCAUUGGAUGGGCCCGCGUCGGAUUAGCUAGUUGGUGAGGUAACGGCUCACCAAGGCGACGAUCCGUAGCUGGUCUGAGAGGAUGAUCAGCCACACUGGGACUGAGACACGGCCCAGACUCCUACGGGAGGCAGCAGUGGGGAAUAUUGGACAAUGGGCGAAAGCCUGAUCCAGCAAUGCCGCGUGAGUGAUGAAGGCCUUAGGGUUGUAAAGCUCUUUUACCCGGGAUGAUAAUGACAGUACCGGGAGAAUAAGCCCCGGCUAACUCCGUGCCAGCCGCCGCGGUAAUAC
rnacentral:rRNA from 1 species